CAGCAGUCUAUCAAUAAUUAACAUUUUUGUUCCCGUGAGUAGUUGUGUAGGAAGAGCCCCAGUGCACGGAUUUGCCCGGGGACCCAUAACGUUGUUAAGAAGGUACUGCUUGUGUGUGUCAGUGAGCUUCUAUUUAGUGAGCAUGUGUGUGUCAAUGAGCUUGUCUUUAGUGAGCUUGUGUGUCCCACUGAACUUCUUUGUAGUGAGCCUUGUGUUUAUACAAGUGAGUUUGUGAGUCAGAGAGUUAUGUCUGUCAGUGAGCCUAUUUGCGCAUGUCAGUGAGCUUGUGUGCUUACUGUACA